UGCAAAGUGUGUGUGUAUGUGUGUGUGUGUGUGUGCGCACUGCAGUGUGAUGGAGGUUUUUGUACGAUGGUUUCAUUAGAAUGUAUCACUGUGGUGGACUUUUGGUGGAGGCUCCAAACUCAUUGUGAACACGGGUCCCGUGGUGAAGCCGUCCGUGUCUCUGCUCUCUCCAUCCCCUCUGCAGCUGUCUGAGGGAUCGGCCUCGCUGCUCUGCCUGCUGUCUGGCUACUCUCCACAGGGGGCGCUGGUUAGCUGGACAGUGGACGGCUCAGAGGUGAAGAACGGGGUUCUGACCAGCGCAGAAGAAGAGAAGAACGGCCGUUACAGCCGCAGCAGCACCCUGACCCUCAGCAAAGACCUCUGGGAAAAGGGGGAGGAGUUCAGCUGUAAGGUCUCCCAUAACAACGUCAAUCAUCCAGUCACGUUCAGAAAGAGUCAGUGUGAAGGCUAGUGGAUCCAAGAUAGAGUUUAACAUAGAGCUGCUUCUGAUCCAUCUACAAUAGAGUUUCAAUUCUACACAAUGCUGACAUUUCUGUCUUUACUCUGUUCACUGUCCUGUUGCUCUUCCUGUAGUUUUUGCUGAAAUAAAACUGAAUUUUGGA